CCAGGGAGCGCCCGGCGGCGGGUGGCAGGGAGCCGGAGGGAGGGCGGAGCGCAGGCUGGCUCGGAGCGGCCAGGCGCCGCCGCAGGCUAGACCCUGCCCCGCAACGCUGCCUCUCACAGCGGACGCUCGCUUGGCUACGCGCUGCUCACGGCGAGCUUGCAGGCUUGGCUGGGCUGUAAAUAUCCAAGCGCAAAGCAACGUUUUGCCAGAUGAAGGAUCCCUGCAUCCUUUUAAGGCAAAGAGUUACCGUUUUUAAACUGGCAAGGAUCUUGUCUUAACCCUGCAGCAAAAUUUCUAAAGCCAGCGGAGAGAAACCUACUCUCUUCUCUCAGAAGGGUAACCUUGCCUGAGCAUUGUUUCCUAUUGCGUUCACCUAAAGUCCCCGAGUCAGUAAUUAAGCUGACCUUUCCACUCCGAAUCAUAUCUAGCACCUUCCUCUCCCGGACACUCCCAAAACAGAGUGGUAGAGAAUUCCAUCUUUCUUUUCGGGUUGUUUGUUUGUCUGUCUUUGUUUUGUUUUCAAGAAUGCUGUUUUCAGUCGUGCCAACGCUGGGGCUCAUAAAUCUACGCACCAGUCCUGCUUUCAGGAAAAGUCGUUAAACUGUGGAACUGACUUUAAUGGUGCGGGGCGGGGGCGGGGAGGGGGAGCGAAUUACUUCUCCUGGCCAUAUUGAAUUAAACGGUUGAACAUCAAAAGAAAAGACUUUCACUCCCUGUAAAGUGAGCCGGGCUUGCUUAGAAGUCACUGUGCACUUCAGCCCAGUAGGUGUCAGUGUGUGAGGGAACCUUGAGUGCAAUUUGUUUGCAGCUUAAGUACUUCACCUAACUAAACGAAGUAGAAUCUUUAAAUGCUUUCCAAAACUGGGACGGGAAACACCUCCAAGGGUACCGAGGAGUCUCACUGCUCACUAGGGCCUAGGAAGGAGACUUUGUCAGAGUGAUGGAGAAUAUCAAAGUACACUGUGUCUGUAUCCACUGAACCAGGGACCUGAGUAGAUUUGAUCGAAAGAACAUAUAUGAACAGGCAAGAGAUGCCGGGACGUGUCCCAUGUCACUCAUCACGUGAGUCUUCCCAAUGAAGAGCUCUAGGUGUCACCUCACAGCUGUUUCAAGAUUAAUACCAAGAAGACAGAAGGAACACCUCUCGCCUGGAUGCACACUUGGGAGAUAACUAAACGUCCUCUGAGCAUUUUCCUGAAGUAUCUGCGGUCAGCUGGUCUACAUGUUUGUGUUCCCACACUCCUUGCAGGAGUAUUUACAGUAGCCAUGCCAGUCCAGGUGCCAGAGGCAAACUGAACCAACCUAGGAAAUGUGCAUGUAUUUUGAACACCACAAUCACAAAUUCAACUGUACAUGCUCCCCAGACUUAAGGAGGAAGAAAAGUCCUUUGUACAAACAUGGUUGGAAUGGGAGGGUGUGCGGAAUAGGAUAAAGUAAAAAGACAAAUGCCCUGUCUUCAUUUAUCUGUAAACAUGGAAACGAUUUUCUCAGAGGAGCAGAGAUGAGAAAGGUGGGAUCCAGAGGCAGGGAGAUGAUGGACAUCAAUCAAAUUGGAUGAAUGGUUUGGAUUCUGUUUUAAAUUCCAUAGCACAAUGUGCAUCUUCAUAUGCAAUGAGAGCUACUCUUCAGGUAGGAGGCUUCCAGUUCCUGUAAUUCCAGACGUGGGAAAGUGAUGGCAGGAAAAUGAUGAGAUCAAGAUCAUUCUCCAGAACAUACUGAGUUCAAGGCCAG